rnacentral:rRNA from 1 species
GAUGAACGCUAGCGGCAGGCUUAACACAUGCAAGUCGAGGGGCAGCACGGGUAGCAAUACCUGGUGGCGACCGGCGCAAGGGUGCGUAACGCGUGAGCAACAUGCCCUAUACAGGGGGAUAAUCCAGGGAAACUUGGUCUAAUAUCCCAUAGUAUUUAGAGGAGGCAUCUUCUAUAAAUUAAAGCUUCGGUGGUAUAGGAUUGGCUCGCGUGACAUUAGCUAGAUGGUGAGGUAACGGCUCACCAUGGCAAUGAUGUCUAGGGGUUCUGAGAGGAAGGCCCCCCACACUGGGACUGAGACACGGCCCAGACUCCUACGGGAGGCAGCAGUGAGGAAUAUUGGACAAUGGAUGGAAAUCUGAUCCAGCCAUGCCGCGUGCAGGAAGACAGCCCUAUGGGUUGUAAACUGUCUUUUAUAUGGGAGCAAUAAGGUUUACGCGUAGACCGAUGAGAGUACCAUAUGAAUAAGCAUCGG